AUGCCCUUUUUAGGGUUGAUUCUGUGUUUUAAGAGGCUAACACAGAAGGGUAAAGGCACUCUCCAUAAAACUCAGAGAGGAGAUUAUAAAACUAUGGAUUCUGUCUGGAGUCACAGCU
rnacentral:snoRNA from 1 species